rnacentral:siRNA from 1 species
CCUUUUCAGAUUCCCACGUCUAG